CCUACGGGUGGCAGCAGUGGGGAAUAUUGCACAAUGGGCGAAAGCCUGAUGCAGCGACGCCGCGUGAGCGAUGAAGGCCUUCGGGUCGUAAAGCUCUAUCAGCAGGGAAGAAAAUGACGGUACUUGAGUAUGACUCCCCGGCUAACUCCGUGCCAGCCGCCGCGGUCAUACGUAGGGGGCUAGCGUUAUCCGGAUUUACUGGGCGUAAAGGGUGCGUAGGUGGGGUCUAAAGUCAGAGGUGAAAGGCUACGGCUAAACCGGGGUAAGCCUUUGAAACUGUGGAACGAGAGUGCAGGAGAGGAGAGCGGAAUUCCUAGUGUAGCGGUGAAAUGCGUAGAUAUUAGGAGGAACACCAGUUGCGAAGGCGGCUCGCUGGACUGUAACUGACGCUGAGGCACGAAAGCGUGGGGAGCAAACAGGAUUAGAUACCCUUGUAGUC
rnacentral:rRNA from 1 species